UCUUCAAAAGUGAAGAAAGUGACUCCUCCGUCUGCCUCAGACGUGAAGAAAACAAAAGUUGCUGAGAAGGAAGCUAAGAAGAGAAAGGCAUCAACACCUUCAAAGUCUUCAGAUGCAAAACGCCUAAAGACUUUGCCUACUACAUCACCGGCUCCAGUUGAGGCAACCCCUCUCAGCGUUGCACUAUCGUACAUGAUCGUAACAUUUGG
rnacentral:lncRNA from 1 species